UUUGUCUAACCCUCUCUUUGUCAUCCCAGUGCUUGACACUGGAAUCCAGCUUUUUUGUAAUUUCAUUGAAAAUGUUGUAUAGUGUGCUUGUUCACAAUCAAUUUUACUGGAUCCCAGUGUCAAGCACUGGGAUGACACCUUUGUGUUUGAGGCAAAA
rfam:Wolbachia endosymbiont of Drosophila ananassae gdan_22, whole genome shotgun sequence.